GACGAACCACACGAACGUUAUUCGGAAUCACUGGGCCUAAAGGGUGCGUAGGCGGCGCGGAAAGUAGGGUGUGAAAUCCCUCGGCUCAACCGAGGAAUAGCGCCCUAAACUACCGUGCUCGAGGGAGAUAGAGGUGAGCGGAACUUAGGGUGGAGCGGUGAAAUGCGUUGAUAUCCUAAGGAACACCGGUGGCGAAAGCGGCUACACUGGAUCUCUCUGACGCUGAGGCACGAAAGCU
rnacentral:rRNA from 1 species